ensembl:lncRNA
GUGGGAGGAAAAAGUGUGCUUCUGGAGGCUGGUGGGGGUACAGGGUGGGGAUAAUGUUGACUCCACCCCAGGACUGGGUGCAGCAAAGGCGAAGCAGUACACACCUCUCUGGCUGGUGCUUUGCUGGAUGGGUGAUAUAUCUGAAGGUAGACCUGCUUCAGCAUGAAGGACUGCACUUAAAGGGAUGCAUACUAUUCCAGCUCAAGCAACAGAUACUGAAGUGCAGAUCACUGUCCUUUGUUGAAAAGGAUCAGCAGUUUGUCAACAUAGGUAACACGCCAGAGCAAGCCUUGGGAUGCAACUCUGAAAACAGGUUAGGCCCUCUUUUCCCCAAGCCCUGCAAUAAAAUACAAACCCAA